CGGGCGGCAGGAACGAGUGGGCUCGGGAGCCGGGGCCCCGCAGCCGGGCGUGGUGGCGCACGCCUGUGAUCCUGCUGCCGGGAGGCUGAGGCUGGCGGAUCCCUUGAGCCCGGGGGUUCUGGGCCGCAGUGGGGCUAUGCCGAGCGGGCGUCCGCACUAAGUUCGGCAUCAAUAUGGUGAGCCCCCGGGAGCGGGGCGCCACCAGGUUGCCUAAGGAGGGGCGAACCGGCCCAGGUCGGAAACGGAGCAGGUCAAAGCUCCCGUGCCGAUCAGUAGUGGGAUCGCGCCCGCGAGUAGCCGCUGCGCCCCAGCCGGGGCGAUACGGGGAGACCCAGCCUUUUGUUGCCGCUGAGGGGGGAGGGGGGGCGGACAGGUGCUGUUUUCUGUCGCGGGGUCGCCCUCGGAGAAAGAAAAAAACAAAAAACAUUCUAUUUCCAACUCCCUCCCUGAUGGAGUCUCAGAAAUCGCGGGGCGGCCGCAUCCCUUCGCGAACGGUGCGCUCGGCAACGAUACAGGCCGGGCCUGGCGAGGGCAGAGCAAGAGCCGGCUGCCUAGCGUAGGGGAGCGAACAGUGCACCGCCAAGCCACCAGCCGCGAGUUCGAGUACCCGCUCUCCUACUUUUCUUCCUGCCUGGGAACCCUGGGAAGUAGGUGCGAUUACAGAUGAGGAAACUGGAGCCACAGAAGUUGUCGCUUGGAAAGCCGCCACCCCCAUCAGGAUCUAGAUUCAUAUUUGAACCUCAGUCUCUCUGAUUCCAAGUCCAAUGGGUCCUUCACUAGAGCUCAAGAUGAGAAUGUAAAUUCAGGAGCAUAUUCAAGACUAAAGAUCUUGUUUUCCUGGUGAUUCACUUGUUUUCUUCUAACUGGAUCUUUGACACACUGAGCCUUGACAAUUUGGAUGGCGGGUUAAUUUCUUGAAUCCUGAACUCAAAAACACUCUUUUUAAUCUAAUUAAAAUCAUAGAAUAAGAACUGUAAGACUCAGGGAUCAUCUAGAUCAAUUCCCUUAUUUUUCCUAUUGAAGAAUGGACUCAGAGAAGGUGUUACCAGUUAAAAUCACAUAGGCUACUGUGUGCUGCAAUCAGAAUUUGAACACAGGUUCUUUUGAUUCUUUUGAUUACACCUUGAUUUUUUUUUUCUUUCUGUUUCUGACUCAUAAUCAUUUCUAAGGUUCUCAGGGAAUAAUCAGAAUCAGAGAAGUAAAUUUACUUCCAGUAACUCCCCUCCCCACCCCCAAGAAAGUAACAAAGCAGACACCAAAAGGAGACAAAUGAAGGAGGUGAUGAAGGAGAGGAAAGGGUUUCUUUUUUAUUAAAAAAAAACUAUUAGUUAAAAUAUUCAGCUUUGUUCAAUAUUGACAAUAACAUCUUACAGCUUGCUUGAAAAAAUAAAAGAUGCUUCGGAUCCAAAGAAAAAGAGCGAGGGUCUCGAUUGUUCUUGUGCCAACAAGAUGCACCUUCCUCCCGAUCUCACAAGAUCGUGUGUUGCGGAGCUUGCUUGGGCUUCCCUCCAGGACACUGCAGCCUGCCCGUGGGCCAUCAUCU
rnacentral:lncRNA from 1 species